ACGAGUUUGAUCAUGGCUCAGGAUGAACGCUAGCGGCAGGCUUAAUACAUGCAAGUCGAGGGGCAGCACGGGUAGCAAUACCUGGUGGCGACCGGCAAACGGGUGCGGAACACGUACGCAACCUUCCCAUAACUGGUGAAUAGCCCUCCGAAAGGAGGAUUAAUACACCGUAACAUAACGAAGUGGCAUCACUUUGUUAUUAUAGGCUUCGGCCGGUUUUGGAUGGGCGUGCGCCUGAUUAGGUAGUUGGCGGGGUAACGGCCCACCAAGCCUGCGAUCAGUAACUGGUGUGAGAGCACGACCAGUCACACGGGCACUGAGACACGGGCCCGACUCCUACGGGAGGCAGCAGUAAGGAAUAUUGGUCAAUGGACGAAAGUCUGAACCAGCCAUGCCGCGUGAAGGAAUUAAGGCCCUCUGGGUUGUAAACUUCUUUUAUCUGGGACGAAAAAAGGGUAUUCUUACUCACUUGACGGUACCAGAGGAAUAAGCACCGGCUAACUCCGUG
rnacentral:rRNA from 1 species